CUUAACAAUUCCUUAAUAUAAUUCAUGAAAGACGUGUGGAACGGGUAGAAAGUAAUUUUGGCAGUCAUUUUCUUCGAAGUUGAUAUCAAUACUACUUAGUGCCUUUGAUUUAAUUACUUUUUAUUUUUACAAGUGUUUGAAAACUCCAUGUCAGAUUGUGUUCAAUGUCAAGUGAAAUCUCAAAUUGAAAUGUCUCAAUCUCAAUGAGGAGACUCUGUAUUUAUUCCUAGAAUUCCCCUAACACCGUCAAAUUGCCCUUUCGAAUUCAAGACAGUGCAGUUUCCCAUCAGUCUGCUUCGUAAUGACUAUAAACAAAGCUCAAAGUCAAACUCUAGGGACCUCUGCUUAAACUCCCAUGAGUGCACAGAGUCGCUCAAGCUUCCAAGGGCCUACCGAUAGGUCGGGUGACGUAAUCUUGAAAUUCUUUAAGCCGGCGCAGAACUUCCAGAAGGUCAGGCGACGCCACGGCCACUUUGAACCGUGUUUACUUCUGCAGUUAUAUUUCAUAUUUAUUCGAUUCUAGAAUAUAUUCCCAAAAAGUC